rnacentral:rRNA from 1 species
UACGUAGGGGGCAAGCGUUGUCCGGAAUCAUUGGGCGUAAAGAGCUCGUAGGCGGUUUGUCGCGUCUGCUGUGAAAUCCCGAGGCUCAACCUCGGGUCUGCAGUGGGUACGGGCAGACUGGAGUGCGGUAGGGGAGAAUGGAAUUCCUGGUGUAGCGGUGGAAUGCGCAGAUAUCAGGAGGAACACCGAUGGCGAAGGCAGUUCUCUGGGACGGUACUGACGCUGAGACGCGAAAGCGUGGGGAGCGAGCAGG